GACGAACGCUGGCGGCGUGCUUAACACAUGCAAGUCGAGCGGUAAGGCCCUUUCGGGGGUACACGAGCGGCGAACGGGUGAGUAACACGUGGGUGACCUGCCCUCAGCUCUGGGAUAAGCCUGGGAAACCGGGUCUAAUACCGGAUAUGACUCCAUGACGCAUGUUGUGGGGUGGAAAGCCUUGUGCGGCUGAGGAUGGGCCCGCGGCCUAUCAGCUUGUUGGUGGGGUGAUGGCCUACCAAGGCGACGACGGGUAGCCGGCCUGAGAGGGCGACCGGCCACACCGGGACUGAGACACGGCCCAGACUCCUACGGGAGGCAGCAGUGGGGAAUCUUGCGCAAUGGGCGAAAGCCUGACGCAGCGACGCCGCGUGAGGGAUGACGGCCU
rnacentral:rRNA from 1 species